AGUCGGACGGUAACGGGUAAGUACUUGUACUUAUGCUGACGAGUGGCGGACGGGUGAGUAAUGCUUGGGAAUCUGUCUUAUGGAGGGGGAUAACGACGGGAAACUGUCGCUAAUACCGCGUAGAGUCGGGAGACGAAAGUGCGGGACUUAAUGGCCGCAUGCCAUGAGAUGAGCCCAAGUGUGAUUAGGUAGUUGGUGGGGUAAAGGCCUACCAAGCCGACGAUCGCUAGCUGGUCUGAGAGGAUGGCCAGCCACACCGGGACUGAGACACGGCCCGGACUCCUACGGGAGGCAGCAGUGGGGAAUAUUGCGCAAUGGGGGCAACCCUGACGCAGCCAUGCCGCGUGAAUGAAGAAGGCCUUCGGGUUGUAAAGUUCUUUCGGUGGUGAGGAAGGGAUGUUGUUUAAUAGAUAACAUCAUUGACGUUAACUACAGAAGAAGCACCGGCUAACUCCGUGCCAGCAGCCGCGGUAAUACGGAGGGUGCGAGCGUUAAUCGGAAUAACUGGGCGUAAAGGGCACGCAGGCGGACCUUUAAGUGAGGUGUGAAAUCCCCGGGGCUUAACCUGGGAAUUGCAUUUCAUACUGGGGGUCUGGAGUACUUUAGGGAGGGGUAGAAUUCCACGUGUAGCGGUGAAAUGCGUAGAGAUGUGGAGGAAUACCGAAGGCGAAGGCAGCCCCUUGGGGAUGUACUGACGCUGAUGUGCGAAAGCGUGGGGAGCAAACAGGAUUAGAUACCCUGGUAGUCCACGCUGUAAACGAUGUCGAUUUGGGGAAUUGGGGUUUAGCCUUGGUGCCCGAAGCUAACGUGAUAAAUCGACCGCCUGGGGAGUACGGCCGCAAGGUUAAAACUCAAAUGAAUUGACGGGGGCCCGCACAAGCGGUGGAGCAUGUGGUUUAAUUCGAAUGCAACGCGAAGAACCUUACCUACUCUUGACAUCCAUGGAAUCCUGUAGAGAUACGGGAGUGCCUUUGGGAACCAUGAGACAGGUGCUGCAUGGCUGUCGUCAGCUCGUGUUGUGAAAUGUUGGGUUAAGUCCCGCAACGAGCGCAACCCUUAUCCUUUGUUGCCAGCGACUUGGUCGGGAACUCAAAGGAGACUGCCGGUGAUAAACCGGAGGAAGGUGGGGAUGACGUCAAGUCAUCAUGGCCCUUACGAGUAGGGCUACACACGUGCUACAAUGGCGUAUACAGAGGGUAACCAACCGGUGAUGGGGAGUGAAUCUCAAAAAGUACGUCUAAGUCGGAU
rnacentral:rRNA from 1 species